UAGAGUUUGAUCCUGGCUCAGAUUGAACGCUGGCGGCAGGCCUAACACAUGCAAGUCGAGCGGUAGAGAGAAGCUUGCUUCUCUUGAGAGCGGCGGACGGGUGAGUAAUGCCUAGGAAUCUGCCUGGUAGUGGGGGAUAACGUCCGGAAACGGACGCUAAUACCGCAUACGUCCUACGGGAGAAAGCAGGGGACCUUCGGGCCUUGCGCUAUCAGAUGAGCCUAGGUCGGAUUAGCUAGUUGGUGGGGUAAUGGCUCACCAAGGCGACGAUCCGUAACUGGUCUGAGAGGAUGAUCAGUCACACUGGAACUGAGACACGGUCCAGACUCCUACGGGAGGCAGCAGUGGGGAAUAUUGGACAAUGGGCGAAAGCCUGAUCCAGCCAUGCCGCGUGUGUGAAGAAGGUCUUCGGAUUGUAAAGCACUUUAAGUUGGGAGGAAGGGCAGUAAAUUAAUACUUUGCUGUUUUGACGUUACCGACAGAAUAAGCACCGGCUAACUCUGUGCCAGCAGCCGCGGUAAUACAGAGGGUGCAAGCGUUAAUCGGAAUUACUGGGCGUAAAGCGCGCGUAGGUGGUUCGUUAAGUUGGAUGUGAAAUCCCCGGGCUCAACCUGGGAACUGCAUUCAAAACUGACGAGCUAGAGUAUGGUAGAGGGUGGUGGAAUUUCCUGU
rnacentral:rRNA from 1 species